UCAUGUUCAUCGUGCUUCUCCUUGGUGUCAUGUAGGUAUCUUCUCCCUUCCUCCCCUUUCAUUUCAAGAUGAGGCCACUUUUGACUUUUCCAGUGCCCUCUGCGCUGUCCCUCCAUGGCCAAGUCUUCGAAUGGUGCAAGACUUACGCAUCUCCUGUAUGUCCCUGCCUUUUGACUUCUCUUGGCGUUUCUCUGGAUCUACAUGUACCUCCUAGUCCUGACUGAGCUUGUUGUUGAUAUCUGACCCUUCUUUUUGUGUGCAUAACUUGUAACCCAUAGUAUACCUGUUGUACCCCAUUCCUAUAAAUCCUUUUUUGUGCGUAGAUCUCCUUUUGAUGCUCAAUGACUUUUGUACCCUGUGUCAUAACUGCAUGCAUCAUGGCUUUAUGUUUUGUGUGCUGAAUCUGUAUCAAAUCUCCUUUGUGUAAAUAGGUUUAGUACUAAUCCGUAGGGAUGGGAUUUGGGAUUUCUCCAUGUUUAAUAUCUUCCGGGCAACACUUGGUAAUUGAUUAAAA